rnacentral:lncRNA from 10 species
GCUGUCUGCUGUCGCCUACAGCUGACCAAUAGAGGGCUUGGGUCCGGAAGUGAUGGACUGGAGGCUUGACUAAUGUGAAAGGGGCGUCUGAAAGAGAAGCCAGCUGCCAUGCCAUGAACUGCAAUGUGAAAAGGCCAAUGUAGCAAGGAUAUGUCCAGCCAACAGCCAGUGAGGAUCUGAGGCCCUCAGACCAGCAGCCCAUGAGCAACUGAAUUUUGCUAAUAACCAUGUAAGUGAACACAGAAGUGGAUCCUUCCCCAGGCGAGCCUUCAUAAGUCCACAGACCCAGUCAAGACUUUGACUGCAGCCUUGUGAGAGCCCCUAAGCCAGAGGACCCAGCUAAGCCACGUUCAACUUCCUGACCUGUCAGGUAAUAAAUGUAUGUUGUUUUAAGCCACUAGGUUUUUCCUUUGUAAAAUAUGUAUUAUGAUCAUUGGCACCCUAAAUG